rnacentral:rRNA from 1 species
GACAGAGGUGCCAAGCGUUGUUCGGAAUUACUGGGCGUAAAGCGCGCGCAGGCGGUCUUCCAAGUCAGUGGUGAAAGCCCGGAGCUCAACUCCGGAACUGCCAUUGAAACUGUGAGACUUGAGGAUGAGAGAGGUGAGUGGAAUUCCCAGUGUAGAGGUGAAAUUCGUAGAUAUUGGGAAGAACACCGGUGGCGAAGGCGGCUCACUGGCUCAUUUCUGACGCUCAGGCGCGACAGCGUGGGGAUCAAACAGG